UGUUUAUUGUUGGCAAGAUUAUGGCGAAGCUGAAUAAACCACAAAGUGUUUCAGCUUCCCCUGAUACUGCCAACAAACAUGGC
rfam:Schistosoma mansoni strain Puerto Rico chromosome 6, complete genome